GCGGUUAUGGGUUAAUUGGUUAAACUGGUCGAUUUCCAAUCGAUUUAUGUCAGUUCAAGUCUGACUAACCGUA